AUGCUAAUGGCUGGAAACUCUUCACACAAACGGCAUACAGAGACGAGCCAAGCGUGGAACUUCAGCAAAGUCUCUGGUUCACAGAGUAACCGGAGAUCGCCGAAUGCCACCUACCUUGAAGGAGAAGAGGCUUUUAACAGACGAACCAAACAACCAAGUGCAUCCUAUGAACCAUGUGCAAACUCCCAACACUCUGUAGAUGGACAUGUCAUGUAGUUCUGUAGUGACUGACAUCCUGAGGAGUAGACUGACACUUUCCGUCAGUGUUGUGAGCUCACUGUGUGUGAAUAUGCAUCAGUGCAAUCCAUCCAUCUUAUUUGGUGCGUGUGUGUGUGUGUGUGUGUGUGUGUGUGUGUGUGUGUGUGUGUGUGUGAAUUAGGGCUGAACGAUUAAUUGCAUUUGCGAUUUAAUCGCGAUAUGAUAGAACGCGAUUUUCUAACCGCAACGUUCGCGAUUAAAAAACGUGGUCUAAAAAAAAAAAAAAAAUUGUUAUUUUUUUUUUUUUUUUUAAGAUGGUACAUUUUGCACACAGUGUUUAAAAAUUGCAUGCCUAGUGUUUAUACUUAAAAUGACUUUUUUAAAAUUACUUAAAUGCACAGUGGCAAAGCCACCGAUUUGUUGUUCUUGUUUCUGUAAUGAGCAGUUAAAUAAAAAUGUAAAAUGUGGGAUAGAAUAUUUUACA
rnacentral:lncRNA from 1 species